rnacentral:rRNA from 1 species
UGGGGAAUAUUGCACAAUGGGCGAAAGCCUGAUGCAGCAACGCCGCGUGAGUGAUGAAGGCCUUCGGGUUGUAAAGCUCUGUCUUCUGGGACGAUAAUGACGGUACCAGAGGAGGAAGCCACGGCUAACUACGUGCCAGCAGCCGCGGUAAUACGUAGGUGGCAAGCGUUGUCCGGAUUUACUGGGCGUAAAGGAUGCGUAGGCGGAUACUUAAGUCAGAUGUGAAAAUCCCGGGCUUAACUUGGGAACUGCAUUUGAAACUGGGUAUCUAGAGUGCGGGAGAGGAAAGUAGAAUUCCGAGUGUAGCGGUGAAAUGCGUAGAGAUUAGGAAGAAUACCAGUGGCGAAGGAGACUUUCUGGACUGUAACUGACACUGAGGCUCGAAAGCGUGGGGAGCAAACA